rnacentral:rRNA from 1 species
UACGUAGGGGGCAAGCGUUGUCCGGAUUUAUUGGGCGUAAUGAGCGUGUAGGCGGUCUGGUAGGUCCGUUGUGAAAACUCGAGGCUCAACCUCGAGACGCCGAUGGAAACCAUCAGACUAGAGUCCGGAAGAGGAGAGUGGAAUUCCUGGUGUAGCGGUGAAAUGCGCAGAUAUCAGGAAGAACACCCGUGGCUAAGGCGGCUCUCUAGUACGGUACUGACGCUGAGACGCGAAAGCGUGGGGAGCGAACAGG